rnacentral:misc_RNA from 1 species
AAGGAUCAUUACCGAGUUAGGGUUCCUCUCACGGGCCCGAUCUCCCAACCCUGUGUCUAUCACACCUUGUCGUUGCUUCGGCGGACCGGUUCGACCCCGCUGGGGGUCGUGACCGCCGGGGGUGCCCACCUCUGGAGCGCGUCCGCCGAUGGCCCAACCACAACUCUUUGUCUCCAACCGGUCGUCUAAAGAAUUCUUGAUAUCAAUCAAAAACAAAACUUUCAACAACGGAUCUCUUGGUUCUG